GAUAGAAGACACCUUGCCAUCGUUUUAUCAUUUGCUGUGAGUUUUGGUUGAAGAGUAAAACUUAACGUUUUUAAGUACGUGGUUUUGAUAGUUAUGAACUGAUGUGGUUUCUAGAUAAUGAUUGUCGUAAGAGUUUUUGUAACUGAGAACAAGAAGUCAACAUAUUACUCGAACAGCACACCCUCUACUCUUAUGUCUGAAAAAAAGUCAACAUCAACAUCAAAGUACGACUUUGUUGAUGGGCAGACCGAUUAUAAUCAGAACCGUUGCCACUACAUCAACGCAAGGUCAAAUGUCAAACUUUUAAUGUCCACAGAAAAAGAAUGAAAGGUGUUCAGAAGAUUGAAUUUGUUUUCUGCUCGCACGAAUAAAAUGGAUUGGGGAACGCACGUGAGUCUUCUCUAACCUUAUCAUACAACUCCAAGAGAAAAAUAUUUUUUACUUGAAAUAACAAUACGUCGCUGAGUACCAAUUCAAAAUGUAUAGGAAUAUGCUCAUGUGCCUGCUAUUCCUGAGGGAAGUAAAUGCCUCCAUUCUGUACACCGCUGUAGUUGGUGGAAAAGUGGCCCUGCCAUGUGACAUAUCUUCUCCUGCUACCGACGAUUCUGCCGCUUUAAUUCUGUGGUAUAAGGGCGAAUCUGCUCAACCAAUUUACACGCUCGAUGCUCGCAGAGACAGAGUAAACCAAGCUCGACAAUCCGUUAGCCCUCAGCUACAAAACCGGGCCUACUUCAACAUGAUUAACAGACCUGCCUUUCUUCAGCUAGACCCUGUAAGAUUAGAAGAUGCCGGAGAAUAUAGAUGUCGUAUAGAUUUUCACAAGGCUCGCACUAUCAACACUGUUAUAACUCUAAAGGUCAUCGUUCCACCUGCUGAUCCUUUAGUGCUUAACGAAGAAGGCAAAGAACUCAAAGGAACGAUAGGUCCGUUUAAUGAAGGUGAUACGAUCAAGCUCCUUUGUAAAUCUAUUGGAGGAAAGCCUCGACCAUCAGUAACUUGGUGGAAAGAAGAGAUUUUGCUUGACGAUAGUUAUACCUUUAAACCUAACGACGUUGUUGAUAAUGAACUAAUCAUCACCAAAGCAAAACGGGAAGAUCUUAUGUCUGUUCUGACAUGUAAGGCCUCAAACAGUAACAUUACAGUUCCCGGCUCUGUAUCUAUUACUCUCGAUUUGAACUUGAAGCCCAAGACGGUGAAAGUUCAGUCCUCUAAACGCCCUCUUUCGGCCGACGUGGAAGUGGAGCUUCGUUGUUCUUCGAGCGGAUCUCGACCUGCUGCGGAUAUAACUUGGUGGAAGGGAAAUGAGCAACUUCAACAAACAAGCCUCACUGUUGAUAAGGUCGGAGUAAGAACUAGUAUCCUUAAGUUUACGCCUUCCAUUACUGAUGAUGGAAAAUAUCUUUCCUGUAGAGCUGAAAAUCCAUUCAUACCUAGUAAUGCUGUGGAGGAUGGUUGGAGAUUGGAAGUCUAUUAUAAUCCUCAGUUAUCACUCGAACUUGGGGCCCGUAUCAAAAAAGACGAUGUCAAAGAAGGCGAUGAUGUAUACUUUGAAUGCCACAUUCGAUCGAAUCCUUGGGUUUCUCAGGUAUUUUGGCACUUUGAAGGGCAGUCACUGACAUCGAAUAGCUCAAUAGGAAUCAUCAUCACUAAUCAAACUCUCGUCAUACAACGUAUACGGCGUGAAUAUAGAGGGCGUUACUCCUGUUCUGCCCAAAAUAUCGAAGGCCUAGGUGUCAGCAAUGAGAUAUUUCUGAAGGUUAAGUAUGUUCCUCGAUGUUCUCCUACUAAAAAAUAUACGUAUGGUGUAGCGAUAAACGAAGCAGUUCAAGUUUUGUGUCAGUUAGACGCUGAUCCAUCAGACGUUACGUUCCACUGGCGAUUCAAUAAUACCACAUCUAAACAUUCGGAUGCAAUACAAUACACAAGUAAUCAGGGAGAAAGCGUUGCCACCUACACUCCUAAGACAGAGGAGGAUUUUGGAAAUUUGUUUUGCUGGGGUGCCAACAAUAUUGGCAUUCAGAAAAGCCCUUGUAUCUUUUCCAUAGUCUCUGCAGGUCCGCCAAAUCCCCUCCAAAACUGCUCUGUUCUCAAUCAAACUGAAAAACAGAUUACGGUUGAAUGUCUUCAGGAAUACGACGAAGAAAAUGCCCAACAAUUCUCGUUGGAAGUCUACUCAGUGGAAGACAACAGGCUUCAAGCUAAUCUAACUUCGAAGUUUCCACGAUUCCAGAUUCGUGAUCUACCCGAAGGAACACAGUUUAGGCUGUUUGUAUACGCAUGGAACGCAAAGGGAAAGAGCGACGUAGUGGUAAUUUCAGCCCAUACCCAUAAACCGGCUGAUAAGCUUACUGACAACGGAAAUACAGAAGAAGAGGUCGUUAUUCGACCCCUGUUGAUUGCUCUCAUUGGUGUUGUAGCUGUUCUUGUUGUAGUAGCUGUUGUUAUUGUCAUACUUAAAAAGUAUAGAAAAAGACGCGAAAGAAAAGCUGGCCAAAGUAGAAGAUCUCUCCCUGAUAAGUCUCAAACUCCUUUGUGGAAGGACGUGAGUGAUUUAAGUGAGCUAGAUGAUAAAGGACCUGAUAUAAUUCCGGCACAAACACUCAGUAGGUCAAACUAUGGAGAGUUUGCUUUUAUAAUGGGUGAAGACGACGAAAGAAGAAAGAAAUCCAUAAGUUUAAUUAGCCCCAUGGAGAUCUUCUAUGGAAGCUCGUCUCUGUUAGAAGGAACUUCUUUAUCGAAAGAAGCUUGUCACAGCAUUUCUUCUCCAAUAGAGAGUGUAUCUGUUCAGCCCCUUGUACUACUGAAAAAACAAGAAGACACUUCUUACGAAGGACUAACAUCAACAAUAACUACGCAUUGCUCUGAAGACGUCAUGUCAAACGGAUCAGGACCAGAAUGUUCCAAGACUGGCUUGAGACGUCACUUACCUGAGAGAGAUGAGGAAGAAUGUGGUGCCACAUGUGAAACUCCUCUAAUGGAGAGCAGACAAGAAAGUGCUGUGUGAUAAAUUUGUCUUUGUAUCACAUUUACUGUUCAACGUGCCUUACUUUGGAUAUUUUACAGAAAUCAGUAUUUCUUCUGUGUGUGUGUGUUUGUGUGUAUACUAAAAUCCAUUUAAGUCCACAAUUCUGAGAUACAAGUGAUAAAACGACCCCAGGGAAACGCCAUCAUCAAACAGAUCUUAAUGGAAAGGGAUUUCCGAAAACAGUACAUCUGCUUAGAAGAGGGUAGAGAAGUAACUAUUUCGAGAAAUUAGACGCUAUCAGAGAAUAUACUGUUUUGGUAUCCGAAAUAUUGGAAACAUACAACUGAAUUUGCUAUUCUAAUAAAUAGGUACACAAAAUAAGACGUAUUAUAUAAUGAUGUGUUGUCACAGCCACUCUGGAUGUUUCUUUUAAAUACUCUUAUGAAUACGUUACAACAAUACAA